rnacentral:rRNA from 1 species
UGAUCCUGGCUCAGGACGAACGCUGGCGGCGUGCCUAACACAUGCAAGUCAAAGGAAAACAGCUUCGGCUGCAAGUACUUGGCGCAAGGGUGAGUAAGGUAUAGGUAAUUUGCCUACAGGACAGGGAUAACCCCGAGAAAUCGGGGACAAUACCUGAUGAUGCAGCGGAACCGCAUGGUUAUGUUGUUAAAUGAGGAAUCGCCUGUAGAUAAGCCUAUAUUCCAUCAGGUAGUUGGCGGGGUAAAAGCCCACCAAGCCUACGACGGAUAGCUGGUCUGAGAGGAUGAUCAGCCACAUUGGAACUGAGACACGGUCCAGACUCCUACGGGAGGCAGCAGUGAGGAAUAUUGCGCAAUGGGCGAAAGCCUGACGCAGCAACGCCGCGUGGAUGAAGAAGUUCUUCGGAAUGUAAAGUCCUUUUGUAGAGGAAGAAUAGCCUGUUUUACGGGUGUGACGGUACUCUGCGAAUAAGCCACGGCUAACUCUGUGCCAGCAGCCGCGGUGAUACAGGGGUGGCAAGCGUUGUCCGGAUU